AGUGGUGAAAGCCUGCGGCUUAACCGUAGAAUUGCCAUUGAUACUGUUGUUCUUGAAUAUAGUUGAGGUAGGCGGAAUGUGUAAUGUAGCGGUGAAAUGCUUAGAUAUUACACAGAACACCGAUUGCGUAGGCAGCUUACUAAGCUAUUAUUGACGCUGAGGCACGAAAGCGUGGGGAGCGAACAGGAUUAGAUACCCUGGUAGUCUACGCUGUAAACGAUGAUCACUCGUUGUGUGCGAUACACAGUACGUGACUGAGCGAAAGCAUUAAGUGAUCCACCUGGGGAGUACGUCGGCAACGAUGAAACUCAAAGGAAUUGACGGGGGCCCGCACAAGCGGUGGAACAUGUGGUUUAAUUCGAUGAUACGCGAGGAACCUUACCUGGGCUUAAAUGUAGAGCGACCUCCGCCGAAAGGUGGAUUUCUUCGGACGAACUACAAGGUGCUGCAUGGUUGUCGUCAGCUCGUGCCGUGAGGUGUCGGGUUAAGUCCCAUAACGAGCGCAACCCCUAUUGUUAGUUGCCAUCAGAUAAUGCUGGGGACUCUAACGAAACUGCCGGUGUAAACCGCGAGGAAGGUGGGGAUGACGUCAAAUCAGCACGGCCCUUAUGUCCAGGGCUACACACGUGUUACAAUGGUCGGUACAGAGGGAAGCUACUUGGUGACAAGAUGCAGAUCUCGAAAAUCGGUCUCAGUUCGGAUUGAAGUCUGCAACUCGACUUCAUGAAGUUGGAAUCGC
rnacentral:rRNA from 1 species